rnacentral:rRNA from 1 species
UACGUGGGGUGCAAACGUUGCUCGGAAUUAUUGGGCGUAAAGCGCACGUAGGCGGCCUUUUAAGUCGGAUGUGAAAGCCCCAGGCUUAACCUGGGAAGUGCAUCCGAUACUGGAUGGCUUGAGUACUAGAGGGGUCGCGGAAUUCCCGGUGUAGAGGUGAAAUUCGUAGAUAGUCGGGAGGAACACCAGUGGCGAAGGCG